rnacentral:rRNA from 1 species
AUGAACGCUGGCGGCGUGCCUAACACAUGCAAGUCGAACGUGAAGGUUGGUUAGCUUGCUAAACGACCUGAAAGUGGCGAACGGGUGAGUAAAGCGUAGGCAACCUGCCGUGUCGUGGGGGAUAACCACUGGAAACGGGGGCUAAGACCGCAUGGUCCUGCAUUGACGGGAGUCAGUGUGGGUAAAGCGCAAGUGCGACACGAGGGUCUGCGUCCGAUUAGCUUGUUGGUGGGGUAACGGCCUACCAAGGCGAUGAUCGGUAGCUGGUCUGAGAGGAUGUCAGCCACACGGGAACUGAGACAACGGUCCCGACUCCUACGGGGGGCAGCAGUGAGGAAUAUUGCACAAUGGGGGCAACCCUGAUGCAGCAACGCCGCGUGGAGGAUGAAGGUCUUUGGAUUGUAAACUCCUUUUCUGAGGGAAGAGCAAGGACGGUACCUCAGGAAUAAGUCACGGCUAACUACGUGCCAGCAGCCGCGGUAAUACGUAGUGGCGAGCGUUAUCCGGAAUUACUGGGCGUAAAGGGCCCGCAGGGGCUUCUUAAGUCUGACGUGAAAGCUCCUGGCUUAACUGGGAGAGGUCGUUGGAGACUGGGGGGCUUGAGGCGAUGAGAGGGGGUGUGGAAUUCCCGGUGUAGUGGUGGAUGCGUAGAUAUCGGGAGGAACACCAGUGGCGAAAGCGGCACCCUGGCAUCGGCCUGACGCUGAGGGGCGAAGGCGUGGGAGGCGAACGGGAUUAGAUACCCCGGUAUUCCCGCGGUAAACGAUGAGCACUAGGUGUAGGUGGUGUGAAAACUAUCUGUGCCGAAAGCCAACGCGCUAAGUGCUCCGCCUGGGGAGUACGGCCGCAAGGCUAGAACUCAAAGGAAUUGACGGGGGAGCCCGCACAAGCAGCGGAGCGUGUGGUUUAAUUCGAUGCGACGCGAAGAACCUUACCUGGUUUGACAUGCACGUAGUAGUGAAGCGAAAGCGGAACGACCCUUCGGGGAGCGUGCACAGGUGCUGCAUGGCUGUCGUCAGCUCGUGUCGUGAGAUGUUGGGUUAAGUCCCGCAACGAGCGCAACCCUUGUCGCUAGUUACAAGUGUCUAGCGAGACUGCCGAUAUCAAGUUGGAGGAAGGUGGGGAUGACGUCAAGUCAGCAUGGCCUUUAUAUCCAGGGGCGACACACACGCUACAAUGGGCGGUACAAUGAGCAGCGAAGGGGCGACCUGGAGCGAAUCUCAACAAAGCCGUUCGUAGUUCGGAUUGCAGGCUGCAACCCGCCUGCAUGAAGCUGGAGUUGCUAGUAACCGCAGGUCAGCCAUACUGCGGUGAAUACGUUCCCGGGCCUUGUACACACCGCCCGUCACGUCAUGGGAGUUGGUAACACCUGAAGUCGGUGACCUAACCGCAAGGGAGGAGCUGCCUAGGGUGGGGCUGAUGACUGGGACG